UACGUAGGGUGCGAGCGUUGUCCGGAAUUAUUGGGCGUAAAGAGCUCGUAGGCGGUCUGUCGCGUCGGUCGUGAAAACUUGGGGCUUAACCCUGAGCUUGCGGUCGAUACGGGCAUGACUGGAGUUCGGCAGGGGAGAAUGGAAUUCCUGGUGUAGCGGUGAAAUGCGCAGAUAUCAGGAGGAACACCGGUGGCGAAGGCGGGUCUCUGGGCCGAUACUGACGCUGAGGAGCGAAAGCGUGGGGAGCAAACAGG
rnacentral:rRNA from 1 species